AGCAGCAAAUCCAAAACACCAAGCCAUCAUCUUCUCUUAUUCUCUCUCGAUUCCCAUCCAUGGCUUUUGCAAGGUCCGUUCUGCUCAUGCUCCUGGUGCUCGCCAUGGUUGCGACACUUGCUCCCGCGCAGCCGUGCUCCCUACGCGAUCCCGAGGGCAUUCUGAGGUGCAUCAGAAGAGCUAUGGGCGAUCCAACCAAAAUCGCAGAGUGCUGCAGUCACUUGCUGCCCAUUUGCGUUUGCAAACCCGCGGUGAAACAACUCUUCCCUCAGUGCUGCCCUUGAGCUUCAACGUUCAAAGGGAAAAGGAGCGCAGCUGCAAUGCAAGUAUAUGUACUCCUGGGGACUCGAAAUGAAGCAAUAAUAAUCUAUAUCAAUGUUCUUAUUGAUUAUGUUUGUAACUUAGAAAUGCAACAACAACGCUUAAACUUGCA